ACUCACAAACAUCGGCUUGCUGAGAUCGCGCAGUACGGGCUGGAAAUCAUCUUUAACAGAUUUUGACUAAGAGAAUAUUAAAAAACGGUAAAAAUUUGGCCGGAGGUGACCAUUCAUAUCAUGUCUGCCUUGACAGUUCUCCCCGCAAACCGGUUUUAAACUUCCUAACGGUCUUUGAUCUUUCGGUGUUGUGAUCGAACGGUUAGUUUGGUUUUACAUAAGCCAGUUUAAUUCUUGACUGAAGGAAACCAGCGCUGACUCGGUGAAAGUUCUUAGUCCAGAAUAAAAUCAUGGUCUAAAGAGCCACCUUUUCCUAGAGUCGAGGCCCCGCCGUCUAGAAGGGACGCGCAGCUCUGGAGACGAAAACGCAAACGGAAUCGACCCUCGAGUUUUUUACAUGACAAGAAGCAUGAAGCUCGUGGUUUUCGCUGUUAUCGCGUCUGCCUUUAUUUCUCUCGCCUGUUCCAUUCAGUGUUACCAAUGUGUUCCUAAGGCGACACCCAGCUGCAGCUCAUCUCAAACCCCCCACGAGUGCGCCGCGCAUCAAACAAAAGCGACUUGUCCCGAGGGACUGGAUCACUGCGUGCGGUCACGUUUCACCAAUGCAUCGAUAGACAUAGAGAAACGGUCAUGUGCAAGCUCAAAGACAUGUGGCAGCCUAAAGCUUUCUUGCGAUCAUCUCAAGGCAAAAGAUAGGCGCGUGAAGUGCCACUGGUCGUGUUGUCAGGAAGACCUUUGUAACGCAAGCGUCUAUCCUGUCGCACAAUUUGUUAUGCUGGUGAUUGUUGCCUGUGUGCUGUACGCGUUUCUUUAACCCAUAAGAUAUCCGAUGAAGUAAAAGGCGAGGUUGGUUCCUAAGAAAGAGAGUUUGCGAGCUGCGUUCCACUUUGUUAGGUGGGCGCAGUUCAUGACAUUAUACAUAAAGCAGCAUAAAGGGCUGUGGAAGAUUGGACUGAAAAAAAAAAUGUAUUCUGAAGUAUGCAGAGCCUUAUAAUUUUACUGACAACGUUAAGAUUUUAUGCGUGAAUUAUAUUACUGAACAGGUUAAUCGGUAUCCUCGAUAUAAACCAGCGCCUCUAGCUCCUUUCUUCGCCUUGUUUUUACUACAGCGCUGGCAAACUCGUCUUUUCAACGCCACAGAUAUUAAAAACGCGAGAAGAGGAGCUAGUUUGGAGCUAUCGUGUAGCGAGAAAGCUGACGUCUCUCAAUAACGGUUGAAGACGGAAUAGAACGUUGAAGUCUUGCAGUUACUCUCGCAGACUUUCUCGCGUGGAAUCAAAGAGCGUACGACGGCCUUUGUCUUGGCCUAUUGUGCGGUCUCAAUAGUCUUAGUGAAUACAACAGUGAUUUUUUUAUAUAAAAUUAUUGUAUAUUUUUUUAUGAAAGUUGGCCUGCACCUGUUUAAAACCUGUAAUAUUGUUAUUCAUUCUUGUUAAUUUGUACCUCUUUUGUUCUUAGGGCCAGGGGCAUUGCUUGUGUUGUUUACCUAUUGCUUCGUUUGGCCAAUUAUAGAGAAACUUGUAAACGGUGCAGGUGGCCCAAUAAAAUUAAAGCACGGAUAACCAGA